UACGUAGGGUGCAGGCGUUAAUCGGAAUUACUGGGCGUAAAGCGUGCGCAGGCGGUCUUUUUAAGUCAGAUGUGAAAUCCCCCGGGCUUAACCUGGGAACUGCGUUUGAAACUGGAAGGCUUGAGUGUGGCAGAGGGGGGUGGAAUUCCACGUGUAGCAGUGAAAUGCGUAGAUAUGUGGAGGAACACCGAUGGCGAAGGCAGCCCCCUGGGCUAACACUGACGCCUCAUGCACGGAAGCGUGGGGAGCAAACAGG
rnacentral:rRNA from 1 species